UACAGAGGUCUCAAGCGUUGUUCGGAUUCAUUGGGCUUAAAGGGUGCGUAGGUGGCGAGGUUAGUCAGGUGUGAAAUCUCGGGGCUCAACCCCGAAACUGCACUUGAUACUGCCUUGCUAGAGUACUGGAGAGGAGAUUGGAAUUUACGGUGUAGCAGUGAAAUGCGUAGAUAUCGUAAGGAAGACCAGUGGCGAAGGCGAAUCUCUGGACAGUUACUGACACUGAGGCACGAAGGCCAGGGGAGCAAACGGG
rnacentral:rRNA from 1 species